AUUUUGAUGCCCGAAACGUGUAACAGAGGCCAAUGGCCUCUGUUUUUUGUCCCCCUUCUUCCCAUUUCUGAUUUCAAAAACAACCAAGCUUUCAUCAUCAUUAUCCAUAUUCAUUUAUCAAGAUAGUACAAAGAAAACAAAACCAAAACAAUUACAAUAAUCAAAGACAGUCGAUGAACACACCCACCCAUUUUCAUUUUAAAAUCACUUUGUUUGUCAUUUUAUUUUAAUGAAAAAUCAUCCAUGAAAUGCAGUUUAUAAAGGCCAUAUUUGUACAUCUAAAUUAUUCCUCAUCUGUACCUCAAUGAAGUAGCAGAAUUGUACCAAAAACACAACGCAAGAAUCGAGUUUUGGAAGCUGGAAGAAAGUUCUAUAAUUUGCUGUGGAGCAGUC
rnacentral:lncRNA from 1 species